rnacentral:rRNA from 1 species
GAUGAACGCUAGCGGCAGGCUUAAUACAUGCAAGUCGUGGGGCAGCAUGAGUAGCAAUACUUGAUGGCGACCGGCAAACGGGUGAGGAACACGUACACAACCUUCCUUCAAGCGGGGAAUAGCCCAGAGAAAUUUGGAUUAAUACCCCAUAAUAUAUUUGAUAAGGCAUCUUAUUAAUAUUAAAGCUUCGGCACUUGAUGAUGGGUGUGCGGCUGAUUAGAUAGUUGGCGGGUAACGGCCCACCAAGUCUACGAUCAGUAGCUGAUGUGAGAGCAUGAUCAGCCACACGGGCACUGAGACACGGGCCCGACUCCUACGGGAGGCAGCAGUAAGGAAUAUUGGACAAUGGACGAAAGUCUGAUCCAGCCAUGCCGCGUGAAGGAUUAAGGUCCUCUGGAUUGUAAACUUCUUUAUAUGGGACGAAAAAGGGCAUUCUUGUUCACUUGACGGUACCAUAUGAAUAAGCACCGGCUAACUCCGUGCCAGCAG